rnacentral:rRNA from 1 species
GCAAGGAAUUUUGCGCAAUGGGCGAAAGCCUGACGCAGCAACGCCGCGUGGGUGAAGAAGGCCUUCGGGUCGUAAAGCCCUUUUGUUAGGGAAGAAGUUCUGACGGUACCUAACGAAUAAGCCUCGGCUAACUACGUGCCAGCAGCCGCGGUAAUACGUAGGAGGCGAGCGUUAUCCGGAUUUAUUGGGCGUAAAGAGCGCGUAGGCGGCCUAUUAAGUCGGUUGUGAAAUCUCCCGGCUCAACUGGGAGGGGUCAUCCGAAACUGGUGGGCUUGAGGACAGCAGAGGGAGAUGGAAUUCCCGGUGUAGUGGUGAAAUGCGUAGAUAUCGGGAGGAACACCAGUGGCGAAGGCGAUCUCCUGGGCUGUUCCUGACGCUGAGGCGCGAAAGCGUGGGGAGCAAACAGGAUUAGAAACCCGAGUAGUCC